rnacentral:rRNA from 1 species
CUCGCCUGUUUUAUCAAAAACAUCGCCUCUUGACAUCUAUAAGAGGUCUAGCCUGCCCAGUGAUAAAUUCAACGGCCGCGGUAUCCUAACCGUGCGAAGGUAGCAUAAUCACUUGUUCUUUAAAUAGGGACUCGUAUCAACGGCAUCACGAGGGUUACACUGUCUCCUCCCUCCAAUCAGUGAAACUGAUCCCCCCGUGAAGAAGCGGGGAUGAACUAAUAAGACGAGAAGACCCCAUGGAGCUUUAAAUCUCACAGCAACUCUAACACUUAAUCCCUCACAACCCACAGAGCAAUGCAUGUCGGUUUUAGGUUGGGGUGACCGCGGAGCAAAAAUUACCCUCCACGACGAAAAGAACUAAGCCUUUAUCUAAGAGCAACUCCUCUAAGAACUAGUAUACUAACGAACAAUGACCCGAUAAUCGAUCAACGGACCAAGUUACCCUGGGGAUAACAGCGCAAUCUACUUCAAGAGCCCAUAUCGACAAGUAGGCUUACGACCUCGAUGUUGGAUCAGGGUACCCCGGUGGUGCAGCAGCUACUAACGGUUCGUUUGUUCAACGAUUAAAACCCUACGUGAUCUGAGUUCAGACCGGA